UUUUAUGAGAGUUUGAUCCUGGCUCAGGACGAACGCUGGCGGCGUGCCUAAUACAUGCAAGUCGAACGCUUCUUUUUCCACCGGAGCUUGCUCCACCGGAAAAAGAGGAGUGGCGAACGGGUGAGUAACACGUGGGUAACCUGCCCAUCAGAAGGGGAUAACACUUGGAAACAGGUGCUAAUACCGUAUAACAAUCAAAACCGCAUGGUUUUGAUUUGAAAGGCGCUUUCGGGUGUCGCUGAUGGAUGGACCCGCGGUGCAUUAGCUAGUUGGUGAGGUAACGGCUCACCAAGGCCACGA
rnacentral:rRNA from 1 species